GGGGCUUUAGCUCAGCUGGGAGAGCGCCUGCUUUGCACGCAGGAGGUCAGGAGUUCGAUCCUCCUAAGCUCCACCA
rnacentral:tRNA from 1 species